GGUCGAAUGGUGUAGUGGUUAUCACGUUCGCUUCACAAACUUAAUUCGCGAAAGGCCUCGGGUUCGACCCCCGAUUCGACCU
rnacentral:tRNA from 1 species